rfam:Ciona savignyi cont_18098, whole genome shotgun sequence.
GCCUCGAUGACGCAGUAGGCAGCGCGUGAGUCUCAUAAUCUCAGGUCGUGAGUUCGAUCCUCACUCAGGACA